AACGAACGCUGGCGGCAGGCUUAACACAUGCAAGUCGAACGAACUCUUCGGAGUUAGUGGCAGACGGGUGAGUAACGCGUGGGAACCUACCUUUAGGUACGGAACAACAGUUGGAAACGACUGCUAAUACCGUAUGUGCCCUAUGGGGGAAAGAUUUAUCGCCUAAGGAUGGGCCCGCGUUGGAUUAGCUAGUUGGUGGGGUAAAGGCCUACCAAGGCGACGAUCCAUAGCUGGUCUGAGAGGAUGAUCAGCCACACUGGGACUGAGACACGGCCCAGACUCCUACGGGAGGCAGCAGUGGGGAAUAUUGGACAAUGGGCGCAAGCCUGAUCCAGCCAUGCCGCGUGAGUGAUGAAGGCCCUAGGGUUGUAAAGCUCUUUCAGCGAGGAGGAUAAUGACGUUACUCGCAGAAGAAGCCCCGGCUAACUUCGUG
rnacentral:rRNA from 1 species